AUGGGCUGCAGGCUGCUCGGCUAUGUGGUUCUCUGUCUCCUGGGAGCAGUCUCCACGGACACUGGAGUUACCCAGAUACCAAAACAUCUGGUAACAGAGACGGGGAUGAAAGUGACCCUGGAGUGCAAACAAAAUCUGGGACAUAAUGUUAUGUACUGGUAUAAGCAGAGUGCUCAGAAGCCGCCGAAGCUCAUGUUUGCCUACAACUAUUAUGAACUCGUAGAAAAUGAGACUGUCUCCAGUCGGUUCUCACUUCAACGCCCAGACACCUCCCAGCUGGACCUUCACGUGAGCUCCCUGGAGCCCGAGGACUCCGCUGUGUAUCUCUGUGCUAGUAGCCAAGACACAGCCCUGCACCCUCAACUUCUCCCUGUGCACAAACCUCUUGGGUCGAGCCAGGAAGCUGUGGGGGGAACCAAGUCUCAGCUCAACAUUUCCUGGAGGGCCCCAGACAGAGAUCCCAGACCCUCCUGCUGCCUGUCAGGUCACUGGAUGUGGCAAUGCUGA